GAAAUAUACAGGCUGAAAUAUAAAAUUCAGAUCCUCUCAGAAGUAGGGAUUUUAGGAUCUGGGGGUCGUUCGUGAGAUCUGGUUUAUAAUUUUCUUCCAUAUGAGAGAGCCUAAUCUCUCUCUCUUUAUGUUUUAGAGAUCUCGUUAAUGUUUUUUCUUCAUCAUUGUUGAAUUUUUUGCAACUUUAUAGAGAGAAUAUGUAAGGAUUUUGCUUCUGUUCUUUCUUGUAAAGGAAGUUCCAGGGCUGUUGAUCGUGCUAUAUUUCAAGAUCAUCGCCUUUCUGUAAUCUGUAUUGUAAUUUUCUCUUGUUUAUGUGGGUUUUUGUUGUUUUUGAUGUAUAAAGUGAUAAGUUAUGGAGGCAAUUUUUGCACCGUCCUCUUCUGCUGAUCAAUCAGUCUCUUCUCGCAAACAAAUCAGAAACCAAUCAAAGAAAAACACUAGAGGUCUCGUAUCAAGAUCCAGUGAAAACUUGGCUCCCACAAACAACAACAUCCAUAGAGGUUGUCUCUUGUUUGCUCCUCCUGCUUCUCUCUCCUUGUCCUACCCUCCUCCUUCAUUCUCAGUUCUUUAUCCACAUCAUCAGAUUCAAAGGCAAUCCCAGCCACCUCUCCUUCCUCUUCCAGUCUCCAGACCCCACAACUCUUUCCCUUCUUCUCUAACCCGAGACGUAUCUUGCCAACCUAAUUCUAGAAAAACAAAUCGAACCAGAGAUCAGUCUCUCACGCCUAAGAAUUCUAAACAGCCCAUCUCCAGAAGAGAAGAGCCCAGACAAGAUUAUUCGAAGCCAAGUGAUGAAGUUCCAGUAUCGGGCAAGUCUUUUAUCAUUGCGUCGACUGUACCAUUAGGACCCGACCCCAACGAUCUACCAAAAGAUGCUUCUAAGGUUUUAUCAUCAUCACCAUCGCCUUCAUUAAUAUCAGAUAAUGGUUUGGAGAUUUUUUCAGGUUCGGUGCUAUCUCCACACCCAAGCAGCUUACCGUUGCCAAAGUUUCCUAUCAGGCCAAAACUCAGUUGCACUGCAGAAGCAGCCGGGAUUGACUCCGGAGCAACAGACGAUCUCCGGCGACUUUUACGUCUCCGGUGAAGUAAAAAUACUAUAUUGGGUUAUAACUAAUAUCUAAUAGCGUGUAACAGGUAAAGAAGGUUGGUUGGUUGGUUGGCUUUUGGAUCUUUGAUGUAAAUAAAAGCCAUAAUCAAUCAAUGGAUGGGUGUUUGGUUGUGAAUUUGUUAAUUUCUAGCGUCGCUGUAGUAAGUAGAGGAAGUUUGGGAUCACCACCAACAUUUUUUUUGAACUGGGGUGCACAGACAAAACAAUGAAUAAGGCUGCCAUGUCAGUCGUUCUUCUCCUCCGUCUUCUUUUUCUUCCCUUUCGUCGUUUUGAUUUAAAAUGUGAUAAACUUGUUUAGACUAGUUGAUUAUAAGACAUAAAUGAAUGAAUUUCAUUUAUUUUGUAAAUUUCAUUUUAUCAUAUUUAUUGUGACUUAAUUAUAUAACAAAUUGAUUCUAUACUAAAAUUU
rnacentral:misc_RNA from 1 species